UUCAAAUCAGACCCAAGCCACUUUCAUAUGUGGUCCUAAAUCUGAUAUACAUCCGAUAUUUUGCAAUGCGACUUCAGUCUGAACGGCCAGGUCGCAUUUAUCCAACCUUUACGGCAUUGAAAUGCGAUAAUUCUCACUCAUUCUGCAUCACA